rnacentral:rRNA from 1 species
AAUAUUGGACAAUGGGGGCAACCCUGAUCCAGCCAUGCCGCGUGUGUGAAGAAGGUCUUCGGGUUGUAAAGCACUCUAAGUUGGGAGGAAGGGCUUUAGGAUAAUACACGGAAGUUUUCACGUUACCAAAAGAAUAGGCACCGGCUACCUCUGUGCCAGCAGCCGCGGUAAUACAGAGGGUGCAAGCGUUAAUCGGUAUUACUGGGCGUAAAGCGCGCGUAAGUUGUUCAGUAAGAUGGGUGUGAAAUCCACGGGCUUAAACUGGGAACUGCUUUCAUAACUGCUUAGCUAGAGUACGGUAGAGGGUAGUGGAAUUUCCUGUGUAGCGGUGAAAUGCGUAGAUAUAGGAAGGAACACCAGUGGCGAAGGCGACUACCUGGACUGAUACUGACACUGAGGUGCGAAAGCGUGGGGAGCAAACA